rnacentral:rRNA from 1 species
GCAGCCGCGGUAAUUCCAGCUCCAAUAGCGUAUAUUAAAGUUGUUGCAGUUAAAAAGCUCGUAGUUGAAUUUCGGGAUUCGUCCAUUGGUCAGGCUUAACUGUCUGUACUGAUGUGUCGGAUUUCUACCUUCUGAAGAACCUUUAUGCCAUUAAUUUGGUGUGUUGGGGAAUCAGGACUGUUACUUUGAAAAAAUUAGAGUGUUUAAAGCAGGCUAACGUCUGAAUACAUUAGCAUGGAAUAAUGAAAUAGGACGGUACGGUUCUAUUUUGUUGGUUUCUAGGAUCGCCGUAAUGAUUAAUAGGGAUAGUUGGGGGCAUUAGUAUUCAAUUGUCAGAGGUGAAAUUCUUGGAUUUAUUGAAGACUAACUACUGCGAAAGCAUUUGCCAAGGAUGUUUUCAUUAAUCAAGAACGAAAGUUAGGGGAUCGAAGACGAUCAGAUACCGUCGUAGUCUUAACCAUAAACUAUGCCGACUAGGGAUUGGACGAUGUUAAUUUUUUAAUGACUCGUUCAGCACCUUACGGG